CCCUGAUCCAGCCUGUCUCCUCUGCAGAACUCCCGGAGCAAGAGGUGACCUCCAGGGACCCUUCCCCCUCUGACCUCAGUCUGAGAACUUCUCCAGGAAGACUCCCACCCCACACCAGCCGCUGGCGGCGGGGCAGGACCUUACAACUAUGAACUUGAAGAACUUCAGUCAGCUCAAACGGCCCCUUGGAAUCACCCAGACUCAGCCUUCACUGACAGAUGGAGAAACUGAAGCCAGAGAAGGGAAACACUUGCCUAAGUUCUCCCAGCCUCGUGCGCUAAUCUAUACAGCAGGGUUGGGACUUCCUAGCCAAGGAAUGGGAGUUCUAGACCACACAGCUGAUGGGGUUUUCCUAUUCCCUAAGACACAACAAUAUCAAAACAAAGCCAAUUAAUAAUCCUACAAUGGCCUCUAAAUGCUCAGUGAAAGGAAGAGUCACAUCUCUCACUUUAAAUCAAAAG
rnacentral:lncRNA from 1 species